rnacentral:ncRNA from 2 species
UAUCUUUGCGGCGCUUUUGGUUUCCGGAAUACACCCGGAAUUAAAAGGGAAUCUGGUGUAAAUCCAGAACUGUCCCGCAGCUGUAAGCUCCUUAACCGAGGUACGAUUUAAAGUCACUGUUAUUCACGUAAUGGGAAGACCAUACUUAGGGGAGCAAGUCAGAAGACCUGCCUUUAGCAUUUAUGAUUC